ensembl:lncRNA
UGGCCUCCUGGCUGUAUAGGCUUCUAUGUAAAGGAAAAGGCAGAGUGGUCUUUUUUCAGUUCAUGCUUGGCAGGAAAGAAAUUGUUUUCAACAAGUAACAUUUUUUCAUUUUAUUUAAACAUCUGCAGUAGCUUCUUUGUGCAAAGGAAAAUGAACUCUGUGGACCUUUCACUGGUGCUGCAAGCAGCACCGUAUUCUUUUCAUAGAGCGGUGAGGAAACAGCAUAAAUCCAAGCCAAACCGAUAUGAUGGGACUUCUCUACUUUAACUUCUUAAGAGCUGUGACACUAAACGAAGACUUUUGGCAGCGUAGCGUUGUUACAGAGGACUGAACGGACCCCGCAGAUCCCCCGCCACGAGAACCCUGGCAGCGCAGCUCUGGGAUCGCUGUUGACGACCCGUGCUGUUUCUGAACCUCCUGCGCUUAUGACCAGUGAGUCUGCCAGUGCCAAGGGCUGAGGAUGAAGAGGGAAGGCAGGAGGAAGAAGAGAGUGUUCCGGAAACAUGUCACAUAGACUAUCAUUCAUCUCCACGGUCAGGUAGCAAAAUAAUACAAAUUCGUCCCAUCAGAACCCAGAAGAGGAGCCACAAUGCAUUAAAUUCAGAGUACCUACACCACUAAAACACGGCUCUGUAAUGUGUUCCCCGUAUGUUUUAUUGAUAUUGGAGGAGAAUAGUCUUUGCGCUGCCCUGAGGAACCUUCACAAAGCAGAUUAUCUUUUCUUUGGCAUGUACUCUGACUUGGUGCUGCUUUCCAGGAGGGUAUGUGUUUG